GGGGUUGUGGCUCAGUGGUAGAGUGCUCACCUAGCACAUGCAAGGGGCCCUGUGUUCGAUCCUCAGCACCACA
rnacentral:tRNA from 1 species